UACGUAGGUGACAAGCGUUGUCCGGAUUUACUGGGCGUAAAGAGCGCGCAGGCGGUCGAUCAAGUCGAGUGUGAAAGCCCCCGGCUCAACUGGGGAGGGUCAUUCGAUACUGAUCGACUCGAAGGCAGGAGAGGGUAGUGGAAUUCCCGGUGUAGUGGUGAAAUGCGUAGAUAUCGGGAGGAACACCAGUGGCGAAGGCGGUUGCCUGGAGCUUUGCUGACGCUGAUGCGCGAAAGCGUGGGGAGCGAGUCCGG
rnacentral:rRNA from 1 species